rnacentral:rRNA from 1 species
GUGAGGAAUAUUGGUCAAUGGGCGGAAGCCUGAACCAGCCAAGUCGCGUGAAGGAAGAAGGAUCUAUGGUUUGUAAACUUCUUUUGAAGGGGGAUAAAGUGCGUCACGAGUGAUGCAUUGCAGGUACCCUUGGAAUAAGCAUCGGCUAACUCCGUGCCAGCAGCCGCGGUAAUACGGAGGAUGCGAGCGUUAUCCGGAUUUAUUGGGUUUAAAGGGUGCGUAGGUGGCUUUUUAAGUCAGCGGUGAAAACUGGCGGCUCAACCGCAAGAGUGCCGUUGAAACUGGGGAGCUAGAGUAUGAACGAGGUAGGCGGAAUGUGUGGUGUAGCGGUGAAAUGCAUAGAUAUCACGCAGAACUCCGAUAGCGAAGGCAGCUUACCAGGCCAUAACAGACACUGAAGCACGAAAGCGUGGGGAUCGAACAGGAUUAGAAACCCGAGUAGUCC